GUUAAAAGAAAUUGUUGUUUUGACAGUCUGUUAAUAGAAAUUGUGACAGUCUGUUGAAAGAAAAUGUUGUUGUGACAGUCUAUUAAAAGAAAUUGUUGUUGUGACAAUCUUUUGAUAGAAAUUGCAACAGUCUAUCUAUAGAAAUUGUUUGCAGACAUUUAGGACAAAUGUUAAAAAUGAGUAUUACAGUAUUUACAAUCACCUUGGAUUUUUACCUCAAAAUGAAUGUGUACAAAUUUCGCCUAUUUUCUUUAUGUUUGCACAUAUUACAUGAUCCAAAUAAUAUAGCAAGAAUGUAAUACUUGUAUAGAAAAGUAUCAUGUGCUAUAAUUUUGUCAAAGAAAAGAAAAAAAAUCCAUAAAGUGAUUCCUUUAUUAAAACACUCACUAUCCCAAAGUCAGUAUUGUGAAAGAGUGAAAUGCUUCAAUAAAAAAUUAAAAUAUA